rnacentral:ncRNA from 2 species
UACUACCCUCGUCGAGCCAGUCGAACUCCACCUCGUGGGGCAGGGAACCCGGUGGGAAUCCGGGACUGACGCGCAGCGGUGAGGGUGACGGGCGGGCAUGCUCCGGGGACGCGUUCCUCGGGACAGCCACUGGAGCACCGCUCCGGGAAGGCGCCCCGCACCGGUCGAACCCGAGUCCGAAGACCUGCUGGCACUGGCGGUGACGG